GAUGAACGCUAGCGGCAGGCCUAAUACAUGCAAGUCGAACGGCAAGAUUUGGUAGCAAUACUGAAUCCUAGAGUGGCGCACGGGUGAGUAACGCGUACAUGACAUACCUAUAAGCGAGGGAUAGCAUUGGGAAACUGGUAGUAACCCCUCAUGUGAUUAUUUGUAAUAAAGGUAAAUAAUUAAAACUACGGUGCUUAUAGAUUGGUGUGCGUCUGAUUAGCUAGUUGGCGAGGUAACGGCUCACCAAGGCGACGAUCAGUAGGGGGCGUGAGAGCGUGAACCCCCACACGGGUACUGAGACACGGACCCGACUCCUACGGGAGGCAGCAGUAAGGAAUAUUGGUCAAUGGAGGGAACUCUGAACCAGCCAUGCCGCGUGCAGGAUGAAAGCCCUCUGGGUUGUAAACUGCUUUUUAACAGGGAAGAAAAUGCUAUACGCGAUAUAGUACUGACGGUACCUGAGGAAUAAGCACCGGCUAACUACGUGCCAGCAGCCGCGGUAAU
rnacentral:rRNA from 1 species